rnacentral:lncRNA from 1 species
CCCGGGGGCUGCGGGGAGAGUUCUGGGCUCCCGCGUCUCUGCUCGCGGCAGCUCAAAGCGGCAGAUCGAGCUCCGCGCUUCUGCCCCGGUGGAGGCAACUUGGCGCGCUGGGAUCGCAUUUUUGUGCGCGAUCAUUAAAUCGAACUCGGCCCUACUCUGUGCUCCCGCGUAGAUCCAGGCCCUCUGUUGCCGUUUAUUUGGUUCCUUACAGUGAAGUUCUGCGUUUCUACCAAGUCCCAGUGCUGCCGUCCGAGUAGUGAGGGCUGGGGAGACUUUGAGAAAUACUGACCCCGGGACGUGGGCGCCCUUUAUUUAUUCAGGGUCCAACCGCUGCCUUCCCAGUAGGAUCGGGUCUGGAAGGGUCCAUCUUGGGCGGAGGGAAGGAAACAGAAUUGUGCCCCCACAGCUACACACACAUCUCUGUACCCGUGGAAGGACCUUACAAGCGUCCCCAGCGGACCCAGGAAGGGUCCUAAACAAAUGGGAAGACUGAGGCUCAGAGAGGCCCAGGGUCACACUGCUCAACCAUACCAGACACGGUUGGUACCCACCACAUCCCUUCUGCCUGCUGUCCUCCCUGGAGGCCUCCAGCGGGCAAUUCCUGGACACUCCUCGGACAGCUCCCCACAUCUGAGGGCUCCAGGGCAGGCUGGAGGCGCUUGGGAAUUGACACCCCCAGGAAGGACCCCUCAACCAAGGAGAGACCAGAGGUGGUGGUAAACAUGCCAAUCUCUUCACUCUCAGUGGGAUAACUUGAAGGCAUGUUCUAAUCAGUAUAGUCUCUCAAAGGUCCCCAACAAGAUAAGCAGCCCUAGUGGCACCGGGUGGUAGCCCCUCAUGGAUACACUGUUGCUUUUUGACCUUCUCUUUCACUUCCCCACCCCCUCAUUAUGUUUCCUGGGAUCAUCUCUCAAAUAAUAAACUACUUGCCUCCAAAUCCUGCCUCAGGGGAAAUCAAAAUGAGACAGGGACGGUGGCAGAGCUAAAACACAUGUCUCCAGACUCCUCAUCCAGUGCUCUUUCCUCCACACCAGAGUUUCUCAACCUCUGCACUAUUAACAUUUUGGACUGGCUAAUUCAUUGCUGUGAGGGGCAGAGCUGUGUACUGUAGGAUGUUUAGCAGCAUCCCUGACCUCUAGCAACUAGAUGCCAGUAGCACCUUCCAGUUGGGAGCAAUCAAAAAUGUCUCCGAGGGGCCGGCCCGGUGGUGCAGCAGUUAAGUUCACACGUUCUGCUUUGGCGGCCUGGGGUUUGCCGGUUCUGACCCCCGGGUGCGGACAUGGCACUGCUUGGCAAGCCAUGCUGUGGCAGACCUCCCACAUAUAAAGUGGAGGAAGAUGGACAUGGAUGUUAGCUCAGGGCCAGUCUUCCUUAGCAAAAAGAGG